rnacentral:lncRNA from 1 species
CGAUUGCUCCAAGCUCUGGACACUCACUCCAAUCUGUAAGCCCAGCUGUGAGUGGUGAUAUCAUCCCCCGUCCUCUACCUACUACAAACAAAUCAUGAGCAUUAAUAUCCAUUGCCCUUAUUGCAGCUACUGUUUCCUCUCCAUUGUUCACAAUCCUUUCAGUAUAAAACACAGACUCUUCAUUAGCGUUUUGCAUCCUAAAUUCAUUUACAUAUUCUUCAUCCAUUUGCUUCUCCCUUUGAUCUUGUGUUUCAAAUGUUAGUAUUCUAGGGUCAUUAGUAUCUUCAUUUCGUUGCCUCGCUGGUUGUACUGCAUCCUCACCUGCAAUGAAUCGCAUCACUGUUAAGCUUAUCCCAGGAUUCUCAGACAUCCUCCAUGCAUAUGAUAGUGCUUCUCUAUCAUCAGGUCCUCCAAAGAAAGCCACAGCUAUAUGAUGAGAUAGUUGGUUUGUGGCUAAGCGAGUAGAGCCACUGAGACCUCUGUCUACAAGAAUCCCAAUUGAGCAAGGUGAGUUUGCUAAUACAUUUUGGUUGACCAUUCGAAAUGCUGGGUUCGUGGCUUCCAUCCCACCAUCCACUGUUUGUUGUUUAUGGAAGGGAAUUAUUAUAAAAGCAACCCUUUUGUCCUCUGCCAAGUUGCAAAUGUCUUCAUGCAUGGUAGAGUAUGGAGAAAUAGCUGUUAAGGGUUGAACUGAAACACAAACUGCAUGUUGUUCAUAAUUUUCGAAGGCAUUGAUGAUGUGAUCAGAUUGGGCUUGGGUUCUAUUCAGGGCUGGACGACCAGAUUUUCUACUGUUAUGAACUAUUAGCAUCGCAGAUGCACGACCAGUGAGUUCAACUAGGUGGAGCACAUAAACACAUAUAGG